rnacentral:rRNA from 1 species
GACGAACGCUGGCGGCGUGCUUAACACAUGCAAGUCGAACGAAGAGCGAUGGAAGCUUGCUUCUAUCAAUCUUAGUGGCGAACGGGUGAGUAACGCGUAAUCAACCUGCCCUUCAGAGGGGGACAACAGUUGGAAACGACUGCUAAUACCGCAUACGAUCUAAUCUCGGCAUCGAGGAUAGAUGAAAGGUGGCCUCUACAUGUAAGCUAUCACUGAAGGAGGGGAUUGCGUCUGAUUAGCUAGUUGGAGGGGUAACGGCCCACCAAGGCGAUGAUCAGUAGCCGGUCUGAGAGGAUGAACGGCCACAUUGGGACUGAGACACGGCCCAGACUCCUACGGGAGGCAGCAGUGGGGAAUCUUCCGCAAUGGACGAAAGUCUGACGGAGCAACGCCGCGUGAGUGAUGACGGCCUUUGGGUUGUAAAGCUCUGUUAAUCGGGACGAAAGGCCUUCUUGCGAAUAGUGAGAAGGAUUGACGGUACCGGAAUAGAAAGCCACGGCUAACUACGUG